GAUGAAGAACGUAGCGAAAUGCGAUAAGUAAUGCGAAUUGCAGAAUUCAGUGAAUCAUCGAAUCUUUGAACGCACAUUGCGCCCGCCAGUAUUCUGGCGGGCAUGCCUGUCUGAGCGUCGUUUCGACCCUCGCGCCCGGCUUCUGUCGGGGGUGGUGUUGGGGAUCGGCCACACCCUUCAGUGGGAGGCCGGCCCCUAAAUUCAGUGGCGACCACGCUGUAGCCUCCCCUGCGUAGUACUAAAACCACCUCGCAGGCGGAGAGCGGUGCGGCCCGCCGUAAAACCCCCCAACUUUUACAAGGUCGACCUCAGAUCAGGUAGGAAUACCCGCUGAACUUAAGCAUAUCAAUAAGCGGAGGA
rnacentral:misc_RNA from 1 species